UAUGCAAACCACAACACGCACUUACCUUAUCUGGUGUCCGACCUGGGGUCGUGUGCCUUCACCGGCACGUGGCCCUGCUUUUUACACACCACGAUAACAGAGUCGCAAACCAAAAAUCUAAAGUUUGGCUGUCAGUAAUCGACAGUCGUAACGAAAACAACUCUCAACAACGGAUAUCUUGGCUCUCGCAACGAUGAAGAACGCAGCGAAAUGCGAUACGUAGUGUGAAUUGCAGAAUUCCGUGAACCAUCGAAUCUUUGAACGCAUAUUGCGCUCGACCCCUCGGGGAAGAGCAUGUCUGCCUCAGCGUCGGUUUACACCUCAUCCCUCCUAGCUUUUUGCUGGGUGUAAUUGGCUUGCUCAAGCCGAAUUCUGGGAUGGAUCUGACCUCCCCAAGCUCUGCCUCGCACUGCUUGGGUUGGUUGAAGCAAAGAGGCUUAAACUGGGACCCGAUAUGGGCUCAACUGGAUAGGUAGCUCCAUUCGCUCUUGUGGCGGGUGUCUACACGAAGUUGUGUCUGUGGACCUGGUUAGGAGCCAAGCAGGAAUCGGAUUCGUCCGAAUCUAAGGUUCGACCUGAGCUCAGGCAAGGCUACCCGCUGAACUUAAGCAU
rnacentral:rRNA from 1 species